rnacentral:rRNA from 1 species
AUGAACGCUAGCUACAGGCUUAACACAUGCAAGUCGAGGGGCAGCAUGGUCUUAGCUUGCUAAGGCCGAUGGCGACCGGCGCACGGGUGAGUAACACGUAUCCAACCUGCCGUCUACUCUUGGACAGCCUUCUGAAAGGAAGAUUAAUACAAGAUGGCAUCAUGAGUCCGCAUGUUCACAUGAUUAAAGGUAUUCCGGUAGACGAUGGGGAUGCGUUCCAUUAGAUAGUAGGCGGGGUAACGGCCCACCUAGUCUUCGAUGGAUAGGGGUUCUGAGAGGAAGGUCCCCCACAUUGGAACUGAGACACGGUCCAAACUCCUACGGGAGGCAGCAGUGAGGAAUAUUGGUCAAUGGGCGCAGGCCUGAACCAGCCAAGUAGCGUGAAGGAUGACUGCCCUAUGGGUUGUAAACUUCUUUUAUAAAGGAAUAAAGUCGGGUAUGUAUACCUGUUUGCAUGUACUUUAUGAAUAAGGAUCGGCUAACUCCGUGCCAGCAGCCGCGGUAAUACGGAGGAUCCGAGCGUUAUCCGGAUUUAUUGGGUUUAAAGGGAGCGUAGAUGGAUGUUUAAGUCAGUUGUGAAAGUUUGCGGCUCAACCGUAAAAUUGCAGUUGAUACUGGAUAUCUUGAGUGCAGUUGAGGCAGGCGGAAUUCGUGGUGUAGCGGUGAAAUGCUUAGAUAUCACGAAGAACUCCGAUUGCGAAGGCAGCCUGCUAAGCUGCAACUGACAUUGAGGCUCGAAAGUGUGGGUAUCAAACAGGAUUAGAUACCCUGGUAGUCCACACGGUAAACGAUGAAUACUCGCUGUUUGCGAUAUACAGCAAGCGGCCAAGCGAAAGCGUUAAGUAUUCCACCUGGGGAGUACGCCGGCAACGGUGAAACUCAAAGGAAUUGACGGGGGCCCGCACAAGCGGAGGAACAUGUGGUUUAAUUCGAUGAUACGCGAGGAACCUUACCCGGGCUUAAGUUGCAGAUGAAUUACGGUGAAAGCCGUAAGCCGCAAGGCAUCUGUGAAGGUGCUGCAUGGUUGUCGUCAGCUCGUGCCGUGAGGUGUCGGCUUAAGUGCCAUAACGAGCGCAACCCUUGUUGUCAGUUACUAACAGGUUCCGCUGAGGACUCUGACAAGACUGCCAUCGUAAGAUGUGAGGAAGGUGGGGAUGACGUCAAAUCAGCACGGCCCUUACGUCCGGGGCUACACACGUGUUACAAUGGGGGGUACAGAGGGCCGCUACCACGCGAGUGGAUGCCAAUCCCCAAAACCUCUCUCAGUUCGGACUGGAGUCUGCAACCCGACUCCACGAAGCUGGAUUCGCUAGUAAUCGCGCAUCAGCCACGGCGCGGUGAAUACGUUCCCGGGCCUUGUACACACCGCCCGUCAAGCCAUGGGAGCCGGGGGUGCCUGAAGUGCGUAACCGCGAGGAGCGCCCUAGGGUAAAACUGGUGACUGGGGCU